rnacentral:sRNA from 1 species
AGUUGUGAAAAGAGAACGAAAUUCAGUGGUGUUCUUCUUGUUGUGUGCUUUAGCAAAAAAAAAGCAAAAGGAAUACAUCUAAGAAAAAUUGGGAUUUUUUGAUUCAAUUGAAUUUUAAUAAAACACAAAAAUUGACUCAAUUGAUUGUGAAGAAGCGUUUUUAAUAAUUUUAUUGGAAUUAUUUAGAACAACAAACCCUCGUAGCUUUUUCUAAACCCAGAGGCAACGUCAAAGUGCAAUAAACUAAAGUUAACUCUUGAAAGUAUUUUUAAGACUAUUACCCCACUGACACAGAGGCCUGUAAACGAUUUUUUUUCCGACAACAAAAAAGCCAAAUACGAAACAAUUUUAACGCAACGCCGACCGUAACAAACCUCUAAGAGACUUAUUCAACUAAUAGAAGAAAACAAACAAAAACCGAAAGCAAUAUGUUCGCCUUAUGGUAUUUAUCAUUGGCCGUCGAUGAGAUGCGGUAAGUGGAAAAAAAUAUAAUCAUCU